rfam:Picea glauca, whole genome shotgun sequence.
ACAUGCAUACAACAUACCGUUAAUGCACCAGAUCCCAUUAGAACUCUGCAGUUAAGCGCACUCAGGCUAGAGUAGUACUAGGAUGGGUGACCGCCCAGGAAUUCCUAGUGUUUUACAUGCC